UACGAAGGGAGCUAGCGUUGUUCGGAAUCACUGGACGUAAAGCGCACGUAGGCGGAUGUGUCAGUCAGGGGUGAAAUCCCGGAGCUCAACUUCGGAACUGCCCUUGAUACAGCACGUCUUGAGUCCGGAAGAGGUGGGUGGAAUUCCUAGUGUAGAGGUGAAAUUCGUAGAUAUUAGGAAGAACACCGGUGGCGAAGGCGGCCCACUGGUCCGGUACUGACGCUGAGGUGCGAAAGCGUGGGGAGCAAACAGG
rnacentral:rRNA from 1 species